GACGAACGCUGGCGGCGUGCUUAACACAUGCAAGUCGAACGGAAAGGCCCCUUUGGGGGUACUCGAGUGGCGAACGGGUGAGUAACACGUGAGUAACCUGCCCUUGACUUCGGGAUAACUUCAGGAAACUGGGGCUAAUACCGGAUAGGAAUCCUUGCUGCAUGGUGGGGGUUGGAAAGCUUCGGCGGUUUUGGAUGGACGCGCGGCUUAUCAGCUUGUUGGUGGGGUAGUGGCUUACCAAGGCUUUGACGGGUAGCCGGCCUGGGAGGGCGACCGGCCACAUUGGGACUGAGAUACGGCCCAGACUCCUACGGGAGGCAGCAGUGGGGAAUAUUGCACAAUUGGCGGAAGCCUGAUGCAGCAACGCCGCGUGCGGGAUGACGGCCUUCGGGUUGUAAACCGCUUUCAGCAGGGGCGAAGCUUGUGGUGACGGUACCUGCAGAAGAAGCACCGGCUAACUACGUG
rnacentral:rRNA from 1 species